UUUUGCAUCGGACUCAGCUCCCUGGUGGUCUUUGGGGAUCACGAAUUCUGGGCAUAACACUGGAAUGAAGGAAUAUUUCCCUGCAUCAACAUUUAAAAAUUAAGUGUUGUGGCAGGCGGCAGAACUCGGUCUCUUAAGGAACGACUAUCACUGAAUGUUAUUUGCUGAUUACUGUAGCCACAAACGUCUCUCCCAGACUGUUUAAGUUGUAUGGAUGGUGUUCUCCACCAUCAGCAGGUACUGUUGUAUUUUGCUUUUUGUUGUUGUGGCAAAAACGUCAAGCUCAUUGGUUGUACCUGCCAGGAUUCUUAGAGAUUUCUAAGAUCUGUCUUCCACAGGAUAAACUAGAAUUUAGAUCAAGGAAUAAAAUGAACUCCAUGUUUCACACUGUCCCUGAACACAGCUAUAUUUCUGACUAAGGGUAUUCUAGAUUCGCAGCUUGGGAAGGAGAGGUAGCUCAGGAGAUUGGGAGUAGACAGAACUGGGUGCUCGAAAAAUUGCCGGGGCUUUCCAUUUGAUUCUGAAAACAUUGUUUAAGGCUUCCUCUGUUUCAACAUGCUUAUUUGUUUCUUUAAAAGUUUUUUUUUUAUGAUUAUUUAUUUUUGAGAGAGAGAGAGAGAGAGAGAGCGCGUGACAGAGUGUAAGUGGGGGAGGGGCAGAGAGCGAGAGAGACAGAAUCCGAGGCAGGCUGCAGGAUCUGAGCUGUCAGCACAGAGCCCGACGUGGGGCUCGAACCCACACACCGUGUGAUCAUGACCUGAGCUGAAGCCAGACACUUAACUGACUGAGCCACCCAAGUGCCCCUCGACAUGCUUGCUUGUUGGAGGAGGUUUGCAGGAGACCAUAUUUAUGAAAGCCAAUACUUCUGGCAGAUGCAGGUGUACUUUGAAAAUAGAUUGAUGUAGUUGUUAACCUUUGGCUUUCCUCGCUCACAAUAAUUAAUUCAUGCCAUUAUUGGCAGUGUAGGUGACCAUUAACAAUUCAUCACGGGACAGUUUUUGCUUCCUUCUUCUUCUUUCUCUUGUUCUUCCUCUUCCUUACAGGUUAAAGUGCCGGACUCUGAAUGCUACGGAAGCGUCUUGCUGUCCGCCUGUUAACCCGUGACUCAUCAACUUGACUAAGAGAAAAUCAAAAGCUAGAAGACACAAAAGCUAGAAAGUUCACGGAUGCUGCGUGGAGACUCCCACAUGAUGGAUGAAGAAGCCCAGAUGGAGAGAGUGUUCCAGUUGAGUCCAGGCCUGGCUGACUUGCCCUCUGAAAGCAUCUGCGUGAGUGACCUCAGGCAAGACCAAUGGAAGAGCCAACCAGCUAAUCCACAGAAUUGUGAGAAAUAACGAAAUGUUGUUUUAAGCCUUGAAGUUUUUGUUUUUGUUGUUGUUGCUGUUUUUUGAGAGAGAGAAACAGAGUGUGUAUCUGUGUACCUGUGAGCAGGAGAGGGGCAGAGGGAAAGAGAAUCCCAAGCAGGCCCCAUACUGAGCAUGGAGCCCCAUACUGAGCUUAAUCCCAUGACCCUGGGAUCAUGAUGUGAACUGAAAUCAAGACUUGGAUGCUCAACUGACUGAGUCAUCCAGGCACCCCAAGCCUUGAAGUUUUGAGGUGGUUUGGUAUGUAGUGACAGAUAACUAACAGAGGAAUAAUAAAGGUUAGAAAGACGAGAGGAGAUACAUACCUGAAGAAAAUAUAUCUGACGUACGUUGCUGAAGAAUGGCAUGUCUUCUUGAGUAUUGCACAGGAUGAAUUUUUAAAAAGGAUUCAGAUCUGGAUACAUCUUAAUGCGUCCACUAUCCAAAUCCCUAAGAUGAAAAGAAAACCGUAAAAAUUUCCAGAGCAGAAAACAAACAGAUAAAGAACAAAACAAACGCCCCCCUGUUUUCCUAAAAGAUUUGUCAUUGGCAGCACUGGAUGAUAGAAUAAAAGGAGAAAUUAUUAUCUAAGUCCUGAUUUAAAUAAUUUUGAUUCUAGAAUUCCAUACCCAGCCAAACAACAUUUAAGUGUAAGAGCAAGAAAAAGAAAAUUUAGGAUCUGCUAGGACCCAGACAGUUUACCAGCCACAAGCCUUCUCUGAAAGUUACUCAAGGAUGAAUUUCAGCAAACUGAAAAGUGAAUCAGAGAAAGAGUAACACCUGAGAUAUAAGAAAUUGACAGGUAAACAAAACCAGUCAAACAUAGAGUUACCUUAUUAAUCUUUGAUGCCUAACAUGGAAAACAAUUCAUAGUCACUUAUCUGGAACCAAAGUCCCGUAGCUUAUGACCUGACAUAUGUGGGACUGGUAAAGUGAUGGAGUGCUACGUUUCUUUUUCAGUUUAGGGAAAAGUAUAAAUAUUGAAUUAUUUCAUGGAACUAUAGAGAACAUAGGUUUUGAUAAGCAUGUUAAAAAUGUAAAGGUAAUACUGGACAAAGAGCAACAUGAUGCAUAAUCUUCUAAACCUCUAAAGUCAAAAAUUUACACCACCACCAAAAACCCCACUUGCUGGUUAAUAGAAAAUAGAAAAUACAUCUAACCAUUUCAAUGGUGCCAUAAUUAUGGAUGGAUGAAUCUCACACAGAUGAAUUUGUGAGAGAUGGAUGAAUUUCACAAACAUUGAGGUUUGUGUGUAGGCUACUGUACAUCUAGCUCAAUGUUGAGUACGAUGGAAAGACUUAAAAUGACACAGAAAAUUAACAAUAGGAGACAAGAAUGUGCUAUGCCGGGCCUUCCAAUUCAACGCAGCCGACUGAAUGUGUGUGUUUAUCUCCACUCCCUCUCACAACUCCAUUAAAGAGAAGGGAAAAGAAGGUGUGGCUCUACAAAGAGAAAGAAAGAAGAGGCAAUGGCAGUUUUCUGAAGCCAGAAAUCAGAGAGAAAAGUGCAUGGAUAACACUCUGGAUUGAGCACAAACUAUUUGACUAUUUAACUCUGGAUGCAGUCUCUGUGAAGUCAUUGGUCCCUUUGGAACCCUGUGAAGUUCAAGAAAUCCUUUUCAACCCUCUAAAUUGUCUGGGUCUCUUCCUUGCCUGAAUUCUUUUAAUAAAUGUAGCAGACGUCACACAUUUGAGACCCUUGAUUAUACAAGGUCAUGCAUUUUCGGGAAUCAAAUAGUGUUUGUCUCCUUGACUAAGACAUAAACUUGUUGA